rnacentral:rRNA from 1 species
GAUCCAGACUCCUACGGGAGGCAGCAGUGAGGAAUAUUGGUCAAUGGUCGGGAGGCUGAACCAGCCAAGCCGCGUGAGGGAGGAAGGUACAGAGUAUCGUAAACCUCUUUUGUCAGGGAACAAAGACUGGGACGCGUCCCCGGAUGAGUGUACCUGAAGAAAAAGCAUCGGCUAACUCCGUGCCAGCAGCCGCGGUAAUACGGAGGAUGCGAGCGUUAUCCGGAUUUAUUGGGUUUAAAGGGUGCGCAGGCGGUGUGUUAAGCCAGCGGACAAAGCCGGGGCCACAACCCGGGCCCGCCGUUGAAACUGGCAGUCUCGAGUUGGAGAGAAGUAUGCGGAAUGCGCGGUGUAGCGGUGAAAUGCAUAGAUAUCGCGCAGAACUCCGAUUGCGAAGGCAGCAUGCCGGCUCCACACUGACGCUGAGGCACGAAAGCGUGGGUAUCGAGCAGGAUUAGAUACCCCCGUAA